UGGGCAUUGUAUCACCCCAGUAUCUUUAAGUUUUGAGAUAACUGGCGAUUCGAUGCCCUAGAUAAAAGAGAAGCCUUCUGUUCAGUCUUCUAAAGUUUGAGGGUUGGAUCGUUCCACUUCUUACAUUA